UGUCAAUGUAGCCCGAAACCCGUGGGCCGACCCGAAUAACCCGACAAAAUUAGAGGGUUAGGGUUGAAAAAUCGCAACCCGAUUACAAAUCGGGCUAAUCGGGCCAGCCCGAUCGGGCUGUCGGGUUGAAGCGGGCCAGCCCGUCGGGUUGUCGGGCCAGCCCGUCGGGCUAUUGAAUUAUUAAAAAAAAAAAAAGUUACUGAUUUUAGGCUUUUACUUUAGGGUUUGCUUAAGGAUUUUUCACGCUUCAGCGCGCCUCCAACUCUCCAGACUCCAAAUUCUCCAACCAUUCCACUUCCAUCGUUCACCGGAAUCACCGCGCGUCGUUGAGAUUUUAGGGUCAGCAGUUCAGCGCGUCUCUGCAGCCGCGUCGUCCUUCGUUCGCCUCUGCAUCUGCCGCCAUUUGCCACCACCGACCCGACACCACCUCCAGCCACCGGUCUGCGUCGUCAACUCCUCCACUCGCGGCAGUCGGCACCAGGUCCGCCACCACCUCCGGCCGUCGACUUUUGAAAACCCGUGCUUGCCAUCAAUCAUUCAUAGGUGUUAAAGAUGGAGUACUCAUUUCCAAGUGUUGAUAUGGAGAGUGGUGAAGAAGAUGUCAAAAUUCUUGAAGAUUCCAAGCCUAAGAAUAGACAAAUGAUAAUUUUAUGAAAAUUCUUGGAGGACUCAUCUAUGUAUAUUUUAUACAUUAUACAUUAUAUCAUUAAGAAUAAUGAAUAAUAAAAUACAAAUGAUAAUUUUA